rnacentral:rRNA from 1 species
GCCUACAACAUAGUGUUAAUGCACCAGAUCCCAUUAGCACUCCACACGUAAGCGCACUUAGGCUAGAGUAGUACUGGGAUGCGUGACUUCUCGAGAAGUCCUAGUGUUUUAUAUGCC